AGGACGACGCUGGCGGCGUGCUUAACACAUGCAAGUCGAACGGUAAGGCCCUUCGGGGUACACGAGUGGCGAACGGGUGAGUAACACGUGGGUGAUCUGCCCUGCACUUCGGGAUAAGCCUGGGAAACUGGGUCUAAUACCGGAUAGGACCAUGGACUUCACGGUUUGUGGUGGAAAGCUUUUGCGGUGUGGGAUGGGCCCGCGGCCUAUCAGCUUGUUGGUGGGGUAAUGGCCUACCAAGGCGACGACGGGUAGCCGGCCUGAGAGGGUGUCCGGCCACACUGGGACUGAGAUACGGCCCAGACUCCUACGGGAGGCAGCAGUGGGGAAUAUUGCACAAUGGGCGCAAGCCUGAUGCAGCGACGCCGCGUGAGGGAUGACGGCCUUCGGGUCGUAAACCUCUUUCAAUAGGGACGAAGCGCAAGUGACGGUACCUAUAGAAGAAGCACCGGCCAACUACGUG
rnacentral:rRNA from 1 species